AUUAGUGUCGUCUGCUUUCGAAAGCAUGCGAAAAAGAGAUCUGUGAAAUUGAUUGGUGAUUAGUGAAUGAUAUUAUUGAUAACUAUGAUGAAACAGACAAUAAUUUUUUUGGAAACGUGGCUGCAGGAAAAAUAGCACGAGAAAUAGCAUUACAAAAAUGUGGUCGUCGUGUGAACUCUGAUGGUGGCUCUUGAUGGAGUAGCUUCAUGCAAACUCCAUGCAGCAGAUAAACAGCAUCCCAUUGGAAUUUUCCCAUUCCAAUCAUUGGAUUGGGGAAAACUACCGAUGUCGGCUGAGUUCUUCCCCUUUCUUUAAAUCCUCUAAAGGUGUCUUCGUGUACAGCCAUAUGUGUGUGUACUCACGAGAACCCUCUGUUUCCUAUUCGGUGGAUUCAACUAUUUUUCCAGAUAGAGCCCUUUUGGAUGCCUGGCUGUAUUUCCCAGGCAAAAAGAGACUCGUGAAAAGUGAGUCUAGACGUUUUCUUUUCAGAUAUGCCGAAUUGAACUCUCUCUCCUAUCCUAUCCGUACAAUAUCAAAUGCAACGGCCGUACAUGCAUCAUUAGAUUGGUAAUCACCUCGAGUUUCGAUUAUGUAACGUUUGAAUGGAAGAAAAAAGGAGAGAGUUGGGAAAUGGCGCGUAUUUCUCGAGAGGCUUUAAAAAACAAAAUGUAAAAGUCGAAAUAAGCGGAACACGCCAACAACCGACACCCCAAGCCCUGGUGAGGUUCUUAUUAUUAUACGACGAUUAUUACGAUUUCCUCGGCAGCCAGUCGAAAUGGGAGAGAAGAAGAAGAAAGAAAAAAAGUUGUUUUUGGAAGUCGAGGAAAGAAAAAAGAAAGAAAAAUAAAAAGGAGGCAGAAAUUUCCGAGCCGUUGGCCCUUUGACAACAUUUUGUGUGAGCGUUGUUCUUGUCAUUCUUUGUGAUCUUCUGUCAUCUUUCCUCGUUAAUAAGGAACGACGUGGAAAAAGGAAACGAGAAACAAGAAGGAAAUCCUCUCUCUCUCUAUCCUCCUCUUGUUUUGUUGUCCCUUUCUUUUCUUUUUCCUUUUUUUAUCUUUCCCUUAGUGUCAACUAGACUAGCGAGUGAUUUAUAGAAAGACUUCGUCAUUCGUCUCAAGUGACCCCUAUAUCCGUCAAAGGCAAAAGCCCAGGCGAAAAUGCCAGAUAUAAAUCAGCAUUGCACACAGCAGCACAAGUACCACCGGACAAUAUAUACCUACCCUCACACAC